rnacentral:lncRNA from 1 species
AUAAAUUCACAAAUAUUCCAAAAACCCUAAGAGCACUACCGAAACACUUUUUCUGCCGCGGCAAGUCUAUGUUCUAACGGGAGGCCAUCUAAACCUCCGUUCCGGCGAUUUGCUAGAGGGGAGAUCAAUCACGGAGGGCCUCUACAUAAACCUUGCUGCCCUCAUCAUGAUGUGUGAGUAGUUCACCAUAGACCUAUGGGUCCGUAGGUAGUACCUAGAUGGCAAUCUCUCUAUCUCUCUCUUAUGAUCUUCAAUACCAUGUUCAUCCAUCUUUGCUUUGAUCUAUCCGAUGUAAUCACUAUGUAUGGUGUGUUUGUUGGGAUCCGAUGAAUUGUGGGUUUAUGUUCAUAUUAUUCAUG